GGAAAAUGUGAUUGGAGAAAGGAGGGAAGCCUAGACGGUCUCAGGAGCCACCUCUUUUCCAAGACUGCCUUUCCUACUAGAAAGCGACAGGCCUCUCAGCCAAUCAGCGCAGAGACCGGUGGACUUGAGAACAAGCCAAUAAGAAGCGUUGGGUGACUCGCGAGAUCGUGGAUUUAACCGCUUCAGUGAAACGCGGAGUCUGUACUAUAAGCGGCUCAGGGGACCGCGCCGCGCCGCGCCCCGGCCUAUCCCAUCCCAUCCCCUGGAGCAGCCACCCGCCGGCGGCAGGCUGCGCUGCCCACGCCUUGCGGAGGAGCGUCUUUGCUGUGGGCGUCGUUCCCGUCAGCCCAGGCAGCUCUUUCCUAUCGCUGCCGGGAGCGGCGGGCUGCGGGCACCCGCGUCCCGGCACCUCCCGUAGGAGACUCGUAGCUGUCCCGUGAAACACCUGCAGUGCCAGCCGCUGGGUUGCGAAGAUCAGUUUGGAAACGUGAUGGAAAAUAAGAAGGGCCAUUGGGGUGUGGAAGGAAGAACCGCCAUGUUGAGUCUGGCCAAUGGGCCUCCAGCUCAGUCGCCGCUUUUUGACUGGGGUCAGGGCCUGAUGCCUCUCAGGGGAUGAACUGAACAGGGCAAUUCGCAAGUGAGCCAUCCCCUGCCAUCGAGUCCCAGCUUCUGGUAGUCCGGUUUAGGGGCAUCCAGGGGCAUGGGAUCGUUUCUCUGACCAUCUUGGCUAUUAGCUAUUGAUGGACCUGUCCUCCAUGAAUAUACCUAAGCCUUUUUUUGAACCCAAGUUAGACUUUUGGCCCUGGCAACAUUUCCUGGCCACCAGUUCCGCAGGUUGACUGUGUGUUGUGUGAAGUACUUCCUUGUGUUGGUUUAAUCUGCUAUUAACUUCAUUCUGUGACCCCCUGUGUUAUGUGACAGUGUACCUUCAUUUUAAUCUGCCUUGUUACACCGAGGCAGCUUUGAGAGACAUCAAAGUGCACCAAGCCUCAGCACACCACAGUGAAUCCUCAAAAACACCAUGGGAAACAUUUGGAAAACGGGACAAAACCCACAAAAGGACAGCACUCUUGGGUGAUGCUAUAAUUGAGCUGGUGUGAUUUCCUCCACUGGUAGUGCAAUGAGCUGCCGUGUGGAAAUCUUGAGUUUGAGAUCUGUCUUCCUAAUCAGAAUUCCCAUGGCCACGGAGAAUAAGCCCAUCAAAGGCUGGCAUUUUGAACUCCUGGAGGAGGGUCAGUGCAUACUGCCUUCAGGCAAAUCCAACCUUCCUACCUUUUUCUCUGUGGAUGUGGAGAGCCUUCAAUGGACUGAAACCUCUCAGUUCUGCCCCACGAGUGAUUCAGGAUGCUGGGAAUCUGUAACAGGGGUCUGAACCCUUCUGUGGUCAGUUGGCUCUAACUCCCCAGGGCACUCAGUGCAGACAUGUACCGAAGCUCUCUGGAGCAGGCAGGGCAGGAAGCUUCACCGCUAUACAGAUCUGCUUUGUUCCCUUUGAACAGAGGGAGCACGGGGGCUGUUGAGCCUACUCUAGCCCUAAAGAAUACAAUAUUGACCGUGGAGCAGCUUUAUUCCCACUCCACAACCUGGAGGAAGGGGUAAGGUUUUUUACCCCGCCACUCUUGUCCCACUGAGUUCCGAUAAGUUAGAAUGGGCACAGGAUUUUGGCCUAUGUUCACCUUUUAGCAGCAACAAGUCUGCAGACAACCUCAGAUAGUCACAGUGGCAAGGAAAGCAAGAUAUUUAAAAAGGGAAAUUAACAUCCUGGCUAGAAGAGCAAAAUUCACCCACCCUCUGGACUAGUUCCUUCAAUUAUACAUUUCAUUGUAACAGGCAUUAAAAAAAACAAAACACAAAGACAAAACUAUGCAUAUUUCAUAUAUUAGGCCCAACAUGAACAAGGUCAGUUUAUAUUGGCAAAAAUUCAGACCUUCUGGAGGAAAAGUAUAUAUUUAGCCACAAAAUGUUUAGGAUUUGUAAUGAAAAUGUGUACAAAAUAGUAUCUCUACAACCCACAGCUGGUAGGAAGGUCCCACAUGGAUGCUUUGGGAUAUGGUAUUGGUGACAUAGCACUCUUCCCUCCGAGUCAGUACUGAACCAAGGCUCCUGCAAAAUACUGGGGGGAAUAUGCUGCUGGAGGUACCAUUCGUUGGAUGGUAUGUAAAACAAGUGAAGCUCACUUGUGGUCAGUAAAGGUAGAUCUGGUAGUAAAUUUCCACCAAAGUUUCACUUUGAUGAAAGUCAGAGAAGUUUUUCACAAACACUUGUAUUUAAAAUAUUUUCCUUUUCCCAACCAUCUCUAAAGAUAUAGGACGGGAUUGUAACUCUGGUGGGCUACUUAAAUUCAAGUUUGCUUAAGUACAUUAUGCCUAACUGAAAGUAUCUCUGUGGUUUUAAAUGGAUAAGGUAUUCCUUUCACAUCCUAAGCUGCUUUAUAGUGUUUCUGUGUAUUGUUGAACAGUUGCCAAGUUUUACCCCAGAUAUAGAUGCACUGCAGAUCCUUCAUGUAAACUGUGUAUUAGUUCAUAAUGCACUUUUGGAUCCUUAAAGAUGUAAAAGUGCUAUGUGUAAAUUUAUUAGAAAAGGCUAGCACACAUGAAGUGUGUAUUUUAAGCUCUGUUCUAUGCCCGUGCCCACUUUCAGAGAGGGUUGAGGACAACCUGUGCUUUAAUGCUUUGUGGCUCCUGCUGCAAAUACAGGCACAAACACAGAUGUUACAUUGUUUUAAAAAUAAUAUGUAUUGAAAACUGAUGGAAAAUGAUUAACUGUUUUUCCUUGAAAUUCUUAGUUGUUUUUCCAAUUUGAUUAAAUGUGGAGUGUUCUUCUAUCA